UGUCAGGGACCACGGAGUAAAGACUCGUGAACCCCGCCAGGGCAGGAAUGCAGCAACGGUAGCGUGUUCCUUAUUGCCGUGGCUCCUUGGCAGUC
rnacentral:SRP_RNA from 1 species